UACGUAGGGUGCAAGCGUUAAUCGGAAUUACUGGGCGUAAAGCGUGCGCAGGCGGCUAUGCAAGACAGAUGUGAAAUCCCCGGGCUCAACCUGGGAACUGCAUUUGUGACUGCAUAGCUAGAGUACGGUAGAGGGGGAUGGAAUUCCGCGUGUAGCAGUGAAAUGCGUAGAUAUGCGGAGGAACACCGAUGGCGAAGGCAAUCCCCUGGACCUGUACUGACGCUCAUGCACGAAAAGCGUGGGGAGCAAACGAGG
rnacentral:rRNA from 1 species